GACGAACGCUGGCGGCGUGCUUAACACAUGCAAGUCGAACGGAAAGGCCCUGCUUUUGUGGGGUGCUCGAGUGGCGAACGGGUGAGUAACACGUGAGUAACCUGCCCUUGACUUUGGGAUAACUUCAGGAAACUGGGGCUAAUACCGGAUAGGAGCUCCUGCUGCAUGGUGGGGGUUGGAAAGUUUCGGCGGUUGGGGAUGGACUCGCGGCUUAUCAGCUUGUUGGUGAGGUAGUGGCUUACCAAGGCUUUGACGGGUAGCCGGCCUGAGAGGGUGACCGGCCACAUGGGGACUGAGAUACGGCCCAGACUCCUACGGGAGGCAGCAGUGGGGAGUAUUGCACAAUGGGCGGAAGCCUGAUGCAGCAACGCCGCGUGCGGGAUGACGGCCUUCGGGUUGUAAACCGCUUUCGCCUGUGACGAAGCGUGAGUGACGGUAAUGGGUAAAGAAGCACCGGCUAACUACGUG
rnacentral:rRNA from 1 species